rnacentral:rRNA from 1 species
AUAAGGAGCUUGCUCCUUUGACGUUAGCGGCGGACGGGUGAGUAACACGUGGAUAACCUACCUAUAAGACUGGGAUAACUUCGGGAAACCGGAGCUAAUACCGGAUAAGAUUUUGAACCGCAUGGUUCAAUAGUGAAAGACGGCCUUGCUGUCACUUAUAGAUGGAUCCGCGCCGUAUUAGCUAGUUGGUAAGGUAACGGCUUACCAAGGCAACGAUACGUAGCCGACCUGAGAGGGUGAUCGGCCACACUGGAACUGAGACACGGUCCAGACUCCUACGGGAGGCAGCAGUAGGGAAUCUUCCGCAAUGGGCGAAAGCCUGACGGAGCAACGCCGCGUGAGUGAUGAAGGUCUUCGGAUCGUAAAACUCUGUUAUCAGGGAAGAACAAACGUGUAAGUAACUGUGCACGUCUUGACGGUACCUGAUCAGAAAGCCACGGCUAACUACGUGCCAGCAGCCGCGGUAAUACGUAGGUGGCAAGCGUUAUCCGGAAUUAUUGGGCGUAAAGCGCGCGUAGGCGGUUUUUUAAGUCUGAUGUGAAAGCCCACGGCUCAACCGUGGAGGGUCAUUGGAAACUGGAAAACUUGAGUGCAGAAGAGGAAAG